rnacentral:lncRNA from 1 species
UUUUUUUUUUUUUUUUUUUUCCUUUUUUGUACGAAAAGAAAGCAGUAGCUGUUGCUAUAACUUUGAGCUUAAAUGGUUAGAUGCCACUUCUGACUCUUUUUCUUUAUUUCACAAACAUCCCCUCACUUCUACUACUUUAUUUCUGGCUUUUAUUAGUUUCCAUUAUUUUACUAAUAUUAACUUGUACGCCUUCAAAAAGGGCAUUUGUGGGAACAAAUUUCCUUCUUUCUUCUGAAAUUACUUUUUUAUGUUCACUUUUUCUGACAUGGACUGAUUUUCUUACCAAAUUCCAAAUCUAAAGGAAGGUCAGUGUAAUUCUAAAAACUUUAGAGGAGCUUGGUGAAAUUGUCAAAAAUCUCAGGGAGGUUCCUAAGAUUAUCCUUGUCGAAAAGAAAAAGAAGAAGAAAGCAUUACUCUAUCCUACUCUAUCCUAAUUUAGGGGGAAGGGGAGCCUAAAGAGGCUGUGGUAGGGACUAGUGGGUAUACAGACCCAACUAGACCAAGAGAGUACUAUGACACAAUCCUUAGAUUUUUUUCGCUGCAGGCGAGGGUUCCUCACCUACAGCCCAAAAAGGGACUUAAGUCCCUCCCUGGUGGCCACUGAGCCAUUGACCCAGUGGUUGAUUAGAGCAACUAUACAUUAGUGAGUCAAUGGUUUGUUACUUAUUGAAAGGUUUCCAUCGGUGAAUAAUAAGGAUAAAUAAACGGAGAGGAAAGAUGUUUUAAAAACUUUGUAAUAUUUUAUAGAUUAACUCUUUAUGCAUUAAUAGCAUAUAAAUUAACUUUUUAUGAACUAAUAGUGUAUUGAAUUUUUCUUAGUAGUUUUACAUGUAUGCCACACGUGCAUGAUUUGAAUUUCAAAUUUGAAUUCAUAUUACAUGCACAUUUACUAUUGAAAUCAUUAGUUUCAUUUUGCAUCCUUCAACUAUCCUAUAAUUUCAACUUUGAUUUCUAAAUUUUAAAUUGAGACACCCUAGUCUCUAAACUAUAGUCCUUAAACUAUACAUCAAUUCCAAUUUUGAUCCCUAUAUUCUAAAUUAGAUCACUUUAGUCCCUAAAUUAUAAUACAAUUCUUCAUUUGGUUCCUAAACUCCUGCAAUUCUUCUACACAGUCAUGUAUACAUUGAACCAAUGCCAGAGCCCCAGAUGAAGCACAAGCUGAGAGCAACCCUGCUAGAGUUGAUGCAUUGGGUUUUACUUCUUCCAGCUUCAUCAAACCCAGUAAAUCUAAUGCUUCAUCUAGCAGGCCACCUUUAGCAUAUCCAUCUGUGAGACAAUUCCACAAGACAACAUCUCCUGCAGAAACGUUAGCAAACACCCUACUCCCAGAAUCAAUGCAGCCCAUUUUACUAUACAUGGAAAAUCAAAGCACUCAUCACAUUUAAAUCGAAGCAAAAACCAAACUUUAUGCAAUAUCCAUGUAAGCACUCACCUGUCAUAACGCAAUUCAGUUCCCCAGCAACCAAGAUAACACUCAAGAUUGUGGUCUUGCCAACAAUUUGACCACUGGUACAUAACAGCCUAAACAAGUCUACAACCAAAUAAUUCUGAGAUGCACAAAGAUAUCCUCCCAUCAAAAUGUUCCACGAUAUUAAGUCUCUCCUUCCUACAAUUUCAUCAAACAGUUUGCGGGCCUCCCCCAUUCUCUGACAGGCACAGUAAAAAUGCAAAGCAUAUUCUUUACAUUCAAAAAUAGCUGAAACCCAGAUUUCACAACAAUUGAAUGAACACCAAGGCCAGUCCAAGUGGCAAACUUUUUGCAACAAGAUUUAAGAACUUAGACAAAAGUAAAUUCAUCAAGCACAAUUUCUUGAGCCCUCAAGGAAUUGAAAAGAACAAAAAUCUAUUUUUGAUUCUCACUGAUUGAAUAGGCUCUCAGGAUAGUAUUAAACAUAUAAAGAUUUGGUUUUUGUAUAUGUUUGAAAAUGAAGCCUGCAUAGUUUAUAUCUUGUAUUGAACAUGCAAGAAGCUUGCCAAGUGUGAAUGGUAAUUGAUCAAGACCAAUCUAAUGAUGUGAGGGACGUUUUGAACGAUUUUUUCAAAAAAAAAAAAAAUAUUUAAGGCUUUGAAAUUGAAGAGAAUUGACAAAAUAAAUCUAAAAUUAACUUCAGUCACCCCCUCUUUCUUUUAGAAAAUGACCUUCUUGAGAGUGAGUCCAUUUAAUUGUGGAAAUUGCAUAGGUCAGACAUUCUUUCAAUGGAUUUUAUUUUUCAGUGCGAGAGAGAAACCGGAAAACAAGGGAAGUUAGAAAUAGGGGAAUUCGAACCCUAUCCCUACAAACUCGAGAAAACUUUUAGAGUUUUAUCUGUCUUCAUUUAGCUAAUCCCUAUGAUUUGUGAUAAAAGUUCAUACUAAGCAUCUUUCAAGUGUGAUUAUCACAAAAUAUCUAUCAAUUCAUGCAAGUGCUCAAAUAUAUUAACAUAGGGAGCAAAGCUUAACUAAAAGUUCAUGCUAUAACUAGAGUUGCAUAAAUAGAUUUUUAUUGUUUAAAUACUACUUUAAAAAAAUGAUUGUCAACACUAUAACUUUCAAAGUUAUAAACAACUCUUUCAAAUCUAUCGUUGUUUUAUUCCUUAUUUAAAACUUUUAGGCGUAUAAAUUUACAGAUACUUUCCCUUAUUAUUGUCAUGCUACCAUGAUCCAUACUACUUAUAACUGAAGAAAAACAAUUAAUUGUAGAAGAAUAGAAAAAGAAAAAUAAUCUCACAAUAUACAUUUCAGAUGUGACGUCUAGCAAAAAUGUUGGGUUCAUUUAAAGACAAAUUAUCAUCUGCAACUUUUCAAUCAACUUGAGAGCAUGCUUGAGCAUGUUGGCACAAAAAUUCAACGCUUACACGAGAAAGUUGGAAGCAAUGAUUAAUUACAACAACUAAUUCUUGCAACGGUAAACCAAUUUCUUUAUUUCCUCGAAAAUGAAGAAAAGAAAACCAUUUUUUUUUUUUUUGGUGUGGCAACAUUGUCAAAGACAAAGAAAAAAGUGCACAAAAGUACAUAGAAUGCAAGAUUUAUGGGAAAUCUUAUCACGGGAAAUUUUAACAUCCGGUCCUACACAAUAAUAAUAAUAUAUUUUUCUUCCUCGUAUUAUACAUAUCUUGAGGAAGAUUUCCAGCCGCAGUAAGUUAUUCAGCAUAAUCAAUUCAGUGCUUGACAUGGUCAAUAACAGUAACAGAUGUUGCAGGAGAUGUUAAAGUUGCAUACCUAACUUUUUGACAUUUAAUCUGCCAUAUUAAUGUUGGCUUCAAUACAAGGACUUUUUUUUUUUUUUAUAAUUCAGUUAAAGGACUUAAAAGUGUAUUUAUACUUAGACCAUGGGCCAUUCUUUAGCAACUACGAGAUAAACUUGUUCAAACUAAGUCUAAUAUAUACUAAUAAUUAACAUGGCGAAACAAUAAUUAUUUGUAGACUGAAAAUUUUGUGAGAUGACGCAUUUUUUGGAUUGUGAUUUUUAGCAAAAAAAUUUUUACUUUUUUCGUAAACGUAUUUUUCAAUUGUUUUUUUUAUCUCAUAUACAUCAAAUCGUUACAAUACAUUUUCUGUAAAAAUUCCUAAAAAUAGAAAUCAAAACGUAAAGAUUUCAAACUAGUCAGGGUUAUAAACAUUCUAGGCUCGAUUUCUGUGAAGGUUGAACCCUGAGGAAUAAGAAAUUCUAAACUCAAAUUCCCCUAUCUUCUUCUCGUUUCUUAAAUCCCAUCAUUCCCUUGUCAGAAAAAAUAUUUUUAAAAGAAAGAGUUCCGUUUUUGUGUAUAUGUUGCUGGAAUAAUUAUCUAAUUGUCAUUUUUUGUGAGUGAUGCUAACGAGCAAAAAAGAAAAAGCCUUUAGCAAACUCAUGUUUUGUCUAGGUUUUGUAAUAAAACUCUUAAUUUCCAUUGGAAAAAUAAAAAGAUAAACAUGCAUAAUGGGCAAAAAUUACUCAUCCUAACGCCAGAAUAGACUGUUAACAUGUUUUUCAACGAUAUACAUAUACAUAUACAUAUACUCUCUGUGUGUGUGUGUUGUUUGGGGGGGGGGUAGCUCUGACAAAAAUGAUCUACUAAUAAAAAUCAGUAACAAGGAGAAUAUUCCUUAAAACAAGGCAAAUGAGUCUUACAAACUAAAUUAAUCUCGGUAGGCUAGCAUGAUGCCUUUGGUUGAAACAAAAUUUUCUUACAUCAAUGGCGAAUAUUUGCUAGAAUUGCCAGUACCUUUCUUGGAAGACAAUUUGAUGCUUUGAAUUUGCCAUUCACAUUUAUAUUUGUAAUUUUGUAGAAGAUCUCCAAUAUUCAAGCCAGCAGAGGUCAAGACUCAGGUACAAAGUACCAUAACCAAGACAGCAACACCUACAAAUUACAAUGCACCUUGGGAUUUUAACAGAGAUCUUGCUUCCCAGACCCAGUAAUUGGCUAAACACCUUUCCCCAAAAAAAAGAAAAAAAAAAGGUUAUUGGUUAAAUAAAGCAUUGUUAUUGGCGCAUGUUAGUCAAAGUCCCGGGAAUCAGAUUAAUGUGCGCUUAUCAACCGUUCAGCUGAUCUUUCCCAUGCAAGCACAUUUUCCCGUGAUUAAGCCAACCAUCCUUGCGAAAUCUUUACAGAACUUCACUGAAUUAAUAAGGAAAAUUAGACCUCAUUUAACAGUUCACGUAGACUUUAUGGUCACCAAAUAAUCAUAAUUAUCGUUGUGAUAUCAGAUGACAUCAGUUAUCCGGUGAAUUUCUUAGAAAAGAUUUUUUAACGCGUGUCUAUUACUAUUAAUACGUCUGUGUCACACCCAUUCUAUUAAUACUAUGAUUCUCUCUUACAUUUAUAUUUUUCUUAUUUAAAUCUAUUUUUUUAUAUAAAAUUAACACCUGAACUCCAUCAUAACGUGCUUAUUAUAUUCAUUAGAUGAACCUUCCUUAGAAUUCCAUUAUCUUCACCUUACUUUUCCCUAUAUUUUCUUAUCCCAAUAGUAAUUACAUUAACCUAAUUUACGACUCCACCUAUGGACCAUAUGAUACAAGUAAAACCUCAUAGCAUAAGGGAGACAAAAAAAAAUAACGUUGGAUAAUGCAAAUUGUACUAGCACAAUUACCUGGCAAAUCGAGAACAAAAAACAAGGGGGACCUUUGUCUUUUACUCAAUUUUUUUUUUUUUUUGUCAAAAUGUCUUUUACUCAAUAACCAACCAUGAAUAUUGAGCAACAUAAAUGGAAUGAAUUUUUUUCAUCCUAAUAAUUGUUUCCCUCAAUAAUAUUAAGGUAAUAAACUUUGAAUAGUUUCUCAAUGUAAAAAUGGAUUUUAGUGUUCCUAAAGCAAUACCCGUCACAGUUUUGUUUGCAUCAAUGCAACAACACAUAAUAGAAAUCCUCAAGGGUCAACCUCAUAAAUUUUAUUCCGAAAUUUACCUAUGGAGAGUGAUUUUUUAUUUAAUCUUAUUAAUAGUUUACCGUUACUUUCCCGUUAAUAAUUAUUAUGUUUUUUCUACUACCAAACCAUUUAAAUAUAAUUUUGGUGGCACAGGUGGAUAAUGGGAAAAAAAAAAAAAAAGACAACGACCCCUCAUUUGACGGACGUUACCAAGAUAGACGGUGAAGGCACUUCUUCUGUUGGAUCCGAAUUGAGCCCCAAAUUAACGGCGUCAGAAUCGGAGAGUGUUACCACGGGACCCACAUGGAAACGGCUAGUGGUCUGACGUGGAGGACAUUCUGACACGUCAUCAGUCAUACGACAAAAUAGCAAUGUUUUGAAAACCGGACCGGACCGGCCGGUUCGACCGGUUGAACCGCGAACCGGCCAUGGCACUGGUCCGGUUCUAUGCUCUGGUUGACUUUGCCAUAAAACCGGUCAAACCCGAUAAAAACCGGUGAACCGUGUUGAACCGGAUUGAACCGGUUUUUUAGUUUUCCUUUUUUUUUUUUUUUUUUGCAAAAUGCUUCUAUCAAGAAGCGAACUCAAAACCUUUGUAAUAGAAAACCAAUGUAGUAACUAUUGCACCAUCACAUCUUAUUUGCUUUUUUUGAUAACUUAUUUAUAUAAAACAAACAUCUAUAUUUCAUUUUUUCAUUUUUCUUACAAAAUCUCAUCCUCUCAUGACUCUUUCUUUUUAAUCUUCAACUCUUUCUUUUCUCUCUCAUCUUUUCUUUUGUCACUCCAUUUUUAAUCAAACCUCAUUAGUUUUAAUUUAUUGAUGUUUUCUUCUAUCUUUUAAUUUUUUUUUUGCCCAUUAAAUUGGAAAAAGUUAAAAAAGAAUUAUUUUUCUUUAACCCAAAUUAUUUAAUGCCACAACCACUCACUUUUAUCUCAUUUUUUGUUUCUUAUCAAGUUUGCAUUUCUAUUUUCAAUUCUCUUAACUUCUUUCGAACUCCAAACUUUCUUUUUAAAUUACAAUCUUUAAAUCUCAAAGACGUAAAUUAAAAUUUAAGUUCAUAAUAUCAAAUUCUCAUAGACGUGAAUUUGUAUAAUUUCAAAAUAUUGUGAUAUUUUUGGGUUGGAUUUAAGAUUUUUUUGGUAGAUAUAAUUGAAAUUGAGAUGAAAUUUAUUUGUUUUAACUUAUAAUUUAAAUAAUUUAUUUUUGAAAAUCCAAAUUAUUCAAAAAUAGUGAACUUUUCAUCAUAUACAGUUUUAAAUUAGUCCAUUGCAUGUCUUAUUUUGUGUAUAUAUAUUUAUAUAAAUUAUUUUUAAAAAAAUUCAUUGAACCGAGGUUGAACCGGUCCGACCGGUUGAAUCUCGACCCUUUCACCUCACCGGUUCAAUUGACGGUCCGGGUUUCAAAACAUUGCAAAAUACUCCCUCCCUUUUUUUAUAACUGUCGUUUAAGGAAUUUGCUCUUAAGUACUUUUAUCUGUCGUUUUACUAUCCCCAUGCAGCAUUUAUUAUUUUUUCACAAUUUUACCCUUUUAUCUCUCUUACAGGAUUCUUAAUUACUACUCCUAGUAAUUAUUGCUUCUCUCUGCCCUUCCAUAUUCUUUCCUAGAAAACAUGGGUGAAUUGAAUAAUUAAUGAGGGUAUAAAAGGAAAGUGGUGUAUAGAUUUAAGCAAUGAAAACUUUUCUUAAUUGAUGUGCAAAACCUUAAACGACAGUUAUAAAAAAAGGGAGGGAGUAGUAAGUACGAUCCUACUAACUCCUCAGUCCUAACUAACGGUUUAUUUUCCAACGAAUUUAAUAUUACCAGAACUCGCCACGUAGGAUAAAACGCAUCACUUCCACGCGUUCCUGGUUGGCUACAGCGUUUUCCACUUUUUCUGGUCGUUCCAUUAAAUGCCCUUUGCCUCUGUUUCCGGUAAAAUGCUUUGACGGUAGGGCAAAUCUGUAAUUUUAUUUAAAAUAUGAGGUUAGUUUUGGUAUGAGGCGCACUAAGCCAAAAUAGGGCGGCUCCUGGCCCGUUACCAGCUGUCCAUUUCUUCAAGCUUUUUCUGGUUGGAUGGAUUUUGCUUUUACUAUUUUUAUGUAGGUUUAUGAAUUUUGGGUAAAGCUUAUGAUUUUCAAAAAGCAGUAAUAAUAAUGUGAGAAAAGGUGACCAUCUUUCUAUUUCAAAAGUCAUUUUCUAACUUGGUGCUUUGGCCCUGUUAUUGCUUUCUUUCUUUUUGGUGUUAGUCCCACUUUGCCCCUACGUUCUCAAAUAAAUAUAAUUGUGUGUUGCAAAAGUUUUUCUAUUUGUAUUUUAACAGGAAAAAGGAAAUGGAGAUUUGAACUCAAGGUCUCUAAUUUUUCGAGUCUCAAUAAUUACCAUUAAAUCUUUUAAAUAUAUUUUUAGAUAACUAUAAGCAGAUUUUCGAACCUUUUUUUCAAGAUACAGACGCAUUUAUCAAUAAAGAUGUCAUGAUAAAAUACUAUCAAAAAAAAAAAUCUCAAACAACAACCAUCCAAACAGAGCAAUAUAUACAUAUGUAUUCAAAAAUAAUCCGUGCAGAUUCACUUUUGUCACGAUUUUGUUACUUUAUCACUCUUUGAAGGCAUUAAGAUUUGAUUAGGUUGCUUUAUUCAUGUUCUAGCUUGAAAGCUUCAAAGGGGGAUAAAGGGACAAAAAUGGAUGUAAAAGUGGAAAAAAGACAAGUCAUUCCAUUUGUUUUAACCCAUCUUUUCUGGCAGACAAUUGAUAUAUUCUUUCUAUACUAUUUGUCUCCUCUUUCCUCUUAGUAUCGUAGUGAUUAAGAGAAUAACUUUAAUCAAUCUUUGCUUAGAAGUCUCUCGAUUCAAUGAGUCACUGAUUAUUAUUCCAAUUUUAACUUAGUGAAAUCCUUAAAAGUAUGCAAUACAUCCAAGGUUAUGCCUUUAGUUUGUAACUCGUUUUGACAACAAAGUGCAACCUAAUUUGUAAGUGCUUUACUUGUAAUUGAUAAUAAAUCAUGGAUUCGAAUCAUCAAGGAUAAGUCGAGAACCACUGUUAAUUCUGUUUGGUGUGCACAAUUAUUUAGUGGAUAUAAUACGAACUUCUAAUACAUCAUCAGUUAUAAAAAUAUGCAUGAUUCUCGAUUUUCCACAUAGAUGUCCAAGGGAAAAUAUUCGUUUAAUUUCAAAGAUGAUAUAAUAAAACAAAAAGGCGACAAGAAAGACUUAUUAUGAUAAGUGAUUAGAUUUAAUUCACUCAUGAGAGCUCACUCUAAUGCCUAAUGGCACACACAACAUGACUACACAGUUCCUAAAGCAAAAGACUAGUAACUAGUGGUUCAAUUUACUAUUACUCACUAAAUUCUAGUUAACUUUUUUUAAUCAUUGUGUAUUUAUUUGUUUAUUUAUUUAGUCGUAAAUACUAAAUACUAACCAAACAAGGAUGAAAUCCUUCUCACUUAAGUAUAGCUUUUCACGUAACAAUAUGAAUUCAUAUUAUUCUACCCAGCAUAAGAACAGCAUAAGAACCUAUAUGCAAUAUAUGUACACGUACAAACAUAACAAAUGGGUCUAUUUAGUUAGACACUUGUUAAGAUGUGGUUCAGGUGUUAAAUUUUAAAAAAUAAAAUUAAUUAGAAAAAGUGGUUAAAUAUAAAGAAUAAUUAUUAUUAUUGUUAUGUACAUUCACACAGUAAGCUAAGUGUGAUUUAAGUAUGCUAACGACGGUCUAUUGGACAUUCAUUACAAAAAUCCAUCUAAAAAGUAUUGAAACAUUUCACGUAAACUUAUUGAAAUUUGUCUCACCACAAAAGUUUUAGAAAAAUCAAUGUUUCAUAAAAACAUGUGCGACUAUGAUUUAUUGCCACAAAAUCACUUUUUAACUUCCUCUAUUUCAACUAAAAAUUAAUUAGAAAAAUUUUUAAAAUGAACAUCUUUUGCAAUGUGGCAUACGUAGAUAAAAAGAUAAUUAAAGAAUAAAAAUAAUAAAAAAAUAUGUUUGUGAUGUCAAAAUAUCUUUCUUUCAAGUAACUCUAAAUCCAAAUGCAUGUCCAUUUGUUUGUCCAACUUAUGAAUUGAUUUUUGCCAAGUACACAGUAGUUAGUAAGUCCCAAACCAAAAAAAUUAGCAAAGCACUUUUCACUAAAUAAAUAAUACUAAUGUAAAAUACUACUAAACAUCUCUAUUUUCUCAACUGAAAUUUUGUCUAUGCUUUUGAACAGUUCACAAGUAUCACCUUUCAGUCUCAGCACCCAAUAAAAUCACCGCUCUUGUCUCCCAUGUCAUUAGCCUUGUCACUCUUCUCUUUCUCUUCACUUCCAUAGAGAUUGAGACUCUGUUUUCACUCCUUUUCAGUCACUCUUCAUAUCAUCUCGUCUCUCUCACAUUUGCUUCCUCAGUACGACUCUUUUACACACACAUCACACACUGAACACCCCAAGAAACACCUGGAACGAUUUCGCUUAUACAGACAAACUGAUCACAGAAAAGCUCUUUAUAUAUAUGAAAAAAAGGACAAAAGAAUGGUGAAUUUUCAUCUGGGAUUUUUUGCAUUAACCACCUUCAUUUUUUGGUUUGUGGGGCUUCGAAAAACCUUCCGAUUCUUUCAUUUGAUGAAGGGUACUCUCAGCUUUUUGGUGAUGAUAAUCUUAUGGUCGUUAAAGAUGGAAAAUCAGUUCAUCUUACUUUAGAUGAAAGAACAGGUCAAUUCUUCUUAAUUGUUUUAUUGGAUUUCUAAGAAAUGGUUCUUUGGCUUUCCUUUGACCUUUUUCCCCCUUUGUUGCACUGGUUUGUUGUGAUUACAGGUUCUGGAUUUGUGUCACAAGACAUUUAUUCACAGGGAUUCUUCAGUGCUUCUAUUAAGCUUCCAGCAGAUUACACGGCUGGCGUUGUUGUAGCAUUUUAUGUAAGUUUUUCCUUGAUCAAGCUGAAGAAUCCCACAUAACCUUGUGAUCAAGGGUACAACUUUAGAGACUCUCGUCAUGGUUCAUCCUUCUCAUUCUUAUAAAGAAAAUAAAAUAAAAAGAAGCCCAGAUUGGAUUUUCUUGAUCAUAUUUUCUCCAUGGAGUUUCUUGAUUUUCAUAAUUUUACUGAAAAUUUUUUAAUUUUUGGGAUUAUAAAUGGAAAAACCGUUCAAAACGUCCCUCACACUUUGUAAAAUAACUUUUUUCAUCCCUCACUUUUAAAAAUGUAAUUUUACGUCCCUUACAAAUUUACAUUGGUCAAAUUUGAUCCCUACUUAGUUUCUGACUAGUUUUUGGUCGGAAUUCACCACGUGCCUUGCACGUGAUCAUACUUUAAGGGCAAAAUUGUCAAAUGAAAUUUUAUAUAAUUCCCUCACAUUUCAUAAAAUAAAUUUUUUCGUCCCUUAUAUUUCAUAAAAUGAAUUUUUCAUCUUUCACAUUUUUCAAAAUGAAUUUUUUCAUCUUUUAUUGAUCAUGUGUGUGAAUAAUAUUUUUUCAAUUCAUAUAUUUAUUUAUUUGAUUUCACCUAAACAAUACGAAUAGCAUGUGAAAUCAAAUAGAGAUAUAUUAUAUACUAUUCGUACUGCUUAAGUGAAAUCAAAUAGAUAUAUACAUGAGUUUAAAAAAAUUGUUAGUUUUUCGCUUAUAUUCAUUUUCUUUUACUCGAAAUUUGAAAAUAAAAAAAAUAUUUAAUCCUAAAUAUUAUCGAGUGUUUAUAUCGAAUUAAAUUUGGAUAGAAAAAGUAAACAAAAGAAAUGUAUGACAAAAAGAAAUAAGCGAUUGGCACUUUCAAAUUUUAAAACAAUCACAAGACAAGUAAUUCAAGUGUUGGUUUUAAAAAUGUCGAAUAGAAAUUUCAGAUUUAAACUGAAAUUUAUUAGCACAAUUAUAGAAUUCAAGUUAGGAUCCAUUAAUUAGAUGACCUUAUUAUACAUCUCAAUAAAUAAAUUAUUACCAAAAGAGAAAGGUCACAAAUAUUGAAUAGGUUCAAAUGGUGAAAUCAUAUAAAUAUAUAUAUGGGUUUCAAACAAAAUUAUUAGUUUUAAACCCCUAUAUAUAUUUAUUGAAUUGCAUGUGUACAACUACAAUUAGCAUGUUUAGAUGAAAUCCAAUAGAGAUAAAUUAAAUGUUAUUCAUACUGUUCAGAUAAAAUCAAAUAGAUAUAUACGUGGGUUUAUAGAAAAAAGCUAUUCGUACAAAUGAUCAAUGAGGGAUAAAAAAAUUCAUUUUGAAAAAUGUGAGAGAUGGAAAAAUUCAUUUUUUGAAAUGUGAGAAACGAAACAAUUCAUUUUGUAAAAUGUUAGGGUCGAAAAAAUUUAUUUUGUGAAAUGUGAGGGACUAUGAAUCAGAUUAUGUAAAAAUUUGAUUUGACAAUUUUGUCCUUAAAAAAUGAUCACAUGCAACUCAUGUGGUGGAUUCCGGUCAAAAACUACUUGAAAACCUAAGUAGGGACCAAAUUUGGUUAAUGUGAAUUUGUAAGGGACGUAAAAUUACACUUUUAAAAGUGAGGGACGAAAAAAGUCAUCUUGUAAAAUGUGAGAACACGUUUUGAACGAUUUUUCCAUUUUAAAUUAUAUGCAAUUUUUUUUUUCCAAAGAGGCAAGGUCUUUUUCUAAUUUUCCUUUUGGGUUAAUCACAUUUUGUCCCCUUAAAGAAUACCCAAUUUUCAGUUUACCCCAUAACAUUUAAUUUUGCUCACUUAACCCCCUUCAGGACAAAAUUACCCUUGCAUUAUUUUGACUUUUCAUUUACCUUGUUUUCCUUUCUUUUAUUUCUUUUUCUCUUUCUUCUUUAUUUAAUUCUUCCUCUUUCCCACAAAAAUCUUCGCCUUAAUGAUUGAAAUUAAAAAAGAAGAAUUGCAGAGAUCUAUCUUCUCAUUAAAUGAUUAAAAAAGAUAUUCAAAUCACUUUUCUAAAAUACAAUUUUUUUUAGCCUUUCAAUUCUUUUAAUUUUGGAUUUUCCUCUUUCCUUUCUAGUUUCUAAUUUUAUUCUCAAGAAAAUAUCAUAAGAUGAAAUUGUUUUCCUUUCUUUUAUUUCUUUUUCUCUUUCUUCUCUCUUUCAUCCUUUCCAAUAGAAAUUCCAUUUCAACGAAAAUUUUUGUUUUGAGUUUGUAAUUGCAAAUUUCUAGGUGAAGGUUUAAAAGGCAUAAAAAAUUAAUUUUGAUUUUUUGUAUGAUGCCACGUGUCACAAAUUUCAAUUGAUGAUUAUUAAUCAGGUCACAAUUUCAUCUUAAGAUAUUUUCUUGGGAAUAAAAUGAGAAACUAGAAAGGAAAGUGGAAAACCCAAAAUUAAAAGAAUUGAAAGGCUAAAAAAAUUGUAUUUUAAGAAAGUGAUUUGAAUAUUUUUUUAAUCAUUUAAUGAGAAGAUAGAUCUCUGCAAUUUCUCUUUUUUAAUUUCAAUCAUUAAGGUAAAAAUUUUUGUGAGAAAGAGGAAUAAAGAAGAAAGCAAAAAAGAAAUAAAAGAAAGAAAAACAAGGUAAAUGAAAAGUCAAAAUAAUGCAAGGGCAAUUUUGUCCUAAAGGGGGUUAAGUGAGCAAAAUUAAAAGUUAUGGGGUAAACUGAAAAUAGGGUAUUCUUUAAGGAAUAAAAUGUGAUUAACUCUUUCCUUUUUAAUGCUAGAAUUGUGUUUAUUUUGGUGGAUGACAGAUGUCAAAUGGUGACAUGUUUCAAAAGAACCAUGAUGAGGUGGAUUUUGAGUUCUUGGGGAACGUAAGGGGUAAAGACUGGAGGAUGCAGACAAAUAUUUAUGGAAAUGGUAGCACAAACGCUGGCAGAGAAGAAAGAUAUGGGCUUUGGUUUGAUCCUUCGGAAGAUUUCCAUCAGUACAGUAUCCUCUGGACUGAGAAUCAGAUUAUGUAAGAAUCCCAAAAUCUAAGAUUCCUGCAUUAUUUGUUUCCUUCUUGUCCUCUGAAUUUUGCUAUUUUUGGUUGCAUACUUUGCUCUGUAACAGCUUUUACUUGACUGAUUCUUUGAUGGAGGCGUUCUAUGUGCACUGAUGUUCUGAUUUUACUGUUUUUGGGGUUUCUGCUGUGAUGUCUCAAUCUAUAUUUAUAGCCUUUCCUUUCUUGGAAAUGCUAUGGGGAUCCAUUCCAUGUUUAUUUCCUGUUCUGAAGAUGUUAUGAUAAGUCUUAAUUUGACCAUAUUUCUUAUUUUCGUUACCAAGAAUAGUAAAUGAGAAGUAAUGAUCCUCCUGUAAAGGAAUUUUAUGCUCUCUGUUAUCAAUACUUAAUUGUAUGCAGUUACUGAGUCAGCAACCUGAUCAAAGUGAGAAUGACAAUUAUGUAACCAUAAGUUUCCCAUCUGUACUUGAAUAUUGUUGAUCUGCAUUUGGGAUCCUAUAUUGUGGAGUUUUUAGUAUUCUUACCGAUAUUAUAUUUUCACUUGAUGACUACACUAUGUCACGAACAGUCUAAUUUCACUAUUAUGGCUGUUUUGCGAACAAAAUUGUCUGUUUUUUGUUGGAGGAUUCUAGCAGUUAUUUCUUGUAUUUUUGGAAUACUAUCCUGAUUUUCCAUUGUUUUACAUAUUUGCACGCCCUGUACCAUGCAAUGCAAUUUGCAGAUUUCAAGGUUUUCUUCCCUUUUCCUAGUAGUUUCAUGUUUUACUUGCUUAUUUAAGAGCUUUUUGGACAUAUUGAGGUCAACAGAAGUGGUAUUAUAUGGCCAAUACAGCUUGUCUUCAAGAAAAAUUCAAAUAAAAUCAGAAACAUCCCCAGAUACAUUACAGAGAAGUUUUUACCGUGCACCAGGCACUUAAAUUUUUUUUUUUUUAACUCUUGCCCCACAUCAAAGAUGAGCCUGCAGCUGCAAGCAAGCAAUGAGACCACGCUUGUUGGAUUUGGUCUGGCUAAUGUACAUUUAUGGUGUCUUUUCAUCAAGACUUUGAUCCUGUUUUGCUUGUUUUGGUAUCUCAUUUUCUUUUGUUGCAGCUUUUAUGUUGAUAAUGUCCCCAUAAGAGAGUUCAAAAGGACAGCAACAAUGGGUGGGGACUUCCCUUCCAAGCCUAUGUCAUUGUAUGCAACAAUAUGGGAUGGUUCCGAUUGGGCUACAAAUGGAGGAAAAUUCAGAAUCAAUUACAAAUAUGCCCCAUACAUUGCAAAAUUCUCCGACCUCGUGCUCCAUGGCUGUGCAGUUGAUCCUACUGAGCAGGCAACAAAGUGUGACAUUGCUCCAAAACAUGAUUCAAUCCCUACUGGUAUCACACCUGAACAAAGAAUUAGAAUGCAGAACUUCAGGAAGAAGCAUAUGCAAUACUCAUACUGCUACGACCGUGCUCGAUAUACGGUCCCUCCAGCUGAAUGUGUCCUAGAUGCUAAGGAAGCCGAGGGCCUCCGUGCAUUCGACCCCGUUACUUUCGGAGGAGUUCACCGUCACCGGGGCAAGCGACACCACCGGAGCAGAUCAUCAUCAUCAAGUCAGGGAGAGGCAUCCUCUACAUAAGAAUGAAUGUGUUGUGGAUGUUGUUAUAUCCUAUAUUUGUACUGUCACACCUUCUUUUCUGAGUCUUGAUUAAUGUUCUUUCCCUGUGCAUACCACCCCAAAAACCAAAAAAAAAGAAAGAAAAGGAUGAGAAGAUAAAAUGAGAAGUCCACAGAUUGUUUUACAGAGGGUGAUAAGAUUUUUAUACUAGCCAUUGAUCAUCAAGGGGUAUGUAUAUAUUUCAUACCUUGAGGUUCCCAGCCAUGUACUUGUUGAUGUAUUAUUGUCUUCAGCUAUGUAUUGUAAUUCCCAUUGUCUUAUGUUCCAAUAAACAUAUUUAAUAGAUGGAGUUGUUAUUAUAUAGAAACUUGUGGUGGGGUUAAUGCCUUGAUGGGGUAUAGGAUUCCAAUUUUUAAAGGGUAUUGUUUAUGGGGAAAAAAAAUGAUAUGUAUCCAUGAAAGUACAGUAGAAUGUUUGUAUUAUAAGCAUGAUUCUUUGUGUAUGAUAAUCCAAAAUAUGAAAAGCCCAUUUGGUCUGUUUAGCCAUUGAAUUCUAGACUCUGUCAUAUGCUCUGAGGACAAUUUUUCUGAUGUGGUAAAUAUUGGAAUCCGAUGAAUCAGGGAUUGUGACAGCUGAAGCUGCGGAGACAAAUGGUAAGUGCCUUGGGAAAAGUUUCACAAAGGGACGGUUAACUGAACUUUUGGAAAUUGCACUUCCGUCCUUCAACUUCAAAAUGCUGCAACUUGGUCCUUACUCGGGUGCAUGCGAUCCAUCCAUUACCUCUUUGGUCCUUACCGCAUGAAAAAUUUUGCACUCUCAGGUGCAUGCGGUCCGUCUAUUACCUCUUGAUUUUAGAUAUUCCCUAAUAUAAUUUUACGAUUUAGGUCUCUCUAACAAGUGUUUAUUGAACACUCGUUAACAUACAUUUCAGAUAUUAAAUUUUUAGAAAAUUAAAAUUAAUUAGAAAAAAUGUAUAAAUGCAAGGGAAUUAAUUAGAAAAGAUAUAUAAAUAAAAAAAAGAUAGUAAUUGUUAACGUGUGUAUAUAUAAUAAGAUUGAAUAAAAUAUAAAUGUGUUAAGUAUUGCUUAUUAAACAUUUAUUAGAAAAAUCCUUACUUUUUAAAUAGUUAAACUUGAAACCCCCCCCCCCCCCUCUCUUUUCUUCCCCCAACCAAUGCACAUUUUGCACCCAUAGCCAUUAGACAAACUAUUGAAGACAUUCUAAAAAUAUUUGGUACCAUGAAUGUAAUAAUGGAAAUAUUUGCCCUUACUUUCUGGUAUUGCAUUGCAAAUUUGUAAAAUCAUAACUAGCUCUAUCACAAAAGUCAGUCAUGCAUUGCCAGAACUUGAAAAACAAUUGCCAUUUUCUAUAUACACAACAUAAAAAAAAACAGAAAAAAGAGUCCUAACAAUAUUACAUAAGGCGUUUUAGCCUUGUAGAAAAGUAUGCAGCAGCAAUUCUAUAUCCACACACUGUUAAAAGAGAAGGAGAGCCCAGUGAGGUUUUUUAAAUUCUAUUCCAAUAGAAAACAAACAAAUAAAUUGCAAUAUCUAGUCUUGAGAAUUUAUGAAUUCCCUGAACAUGAUGCUUUGACANNNNNNNNNNNNNNNNNNNNNNNNNNNNNNNNNNNNNNNN